AGACACCCUGGAUUAUCAUGAUUGAUUGCUAGGCGUUUAGUUUGUAUGAUUGAGAUGAGGAAAGUAGCAAUAGUUAUGUGAAUUUGGAGUCUGAAUACUAUAGUAUUUGCUGUGAAUGACUGAAUGUUAGACGAGGAACCUGCUUCGCAUUGCUAUAUUCAAUAUCACUGGGUAUGAUAUUGAUGCAUUUUCUACUCACUUCCUCAGUUCCUCUAUCUCGGCCAUGUUCCCCAACCCUAGUUGGCCGUCCCACAAGCUCUUCAACAAGACGUCGUGGACCGACUUCGAUUACUGCAAAAUCCCGCCAGGUCACUACUCUCCUUCAUCACCAAUCAAUCAAUCUAUCCAAUUCAGUUUGCUUCUAAUUCUAAAUACUAGCCCUUCUUUUUCACUUCUUGGCUGCAUUCUGAACAUGCAUGUUGUUUAUUUGAUUAUUAUGUCUCUCUGUAAAGUUUGGCUUUUUCUAUAGAGAUAAUCAUAAAUUACUGCCCAGCUUUAAUUAUGAGGCACUUCAUGACUUUAUCAUCUAAAGCUUAUGAAGCUAUACCCUAUGCUUUGUAUAGAAGAUCGAGGCUAGGCUUUCUGGCUUUCUAUUUUUGGUGAAGCUUGUGACCCAAAAUAGGCCUUGCUUUAUAUGGCAACGACAGCAUGGAUUUCUUACAUUGCAUAAUGAUAUUAGUUUAGUGCUUUUAGAUUUGGUCUAUUUUUCCCAAAUGCUUUUAGUAAGUAUUAUCUAUAGCUGCUAGCACUCGAUGAAGUUGUAGAAAUGAAGUAAUUAUUCAAACUGGGAGCAUAUAACUUGUAUUCAAAUAUCUCAUAGCUACUGAUUUUGGCAUUUGAUAAUUCCAGGAAUUGUAAUUUCUGUUUUGUAGUUGUGUUGGUAAAUUUCUAUUGGUUCUUUGAUGAUAACUUGAAUAUAUAUCUGAGUGAGGCGGCUAUCAAGAAGGAAAGACAUGAGGCACGGCGCGCUAAAAAGGAUUUGAAGGGACUUUACUGGGGUGAAGCGCAGCAUGCUUAGAGAGUAGAUUCUUAAUGAGUUUUUGUCAAGUGGUUUUGUUGUGAUGCUUUUUCAUUAUGAUGGUAACGUUGAUGAGGGGAAGCAAUUUUAAUGGAAUGAUCUUGUCAUUUAUGUGUCUGCAGUCAAUCAAACAAAAUGGUGGUUCGCAAAGCGUUUCUUACAUCCUGAUAUAGUUUAUCAAUAUAGUCGCAUUCUUCUACAGGAUGAGGACCUUGGAGUUGACAAUUUCAAUCCUCAACGGUAUGUGUCCAUUGUUCGAAAGGAAGGGCUUGAAAUAUCACAACCGGCACUUGAUUUUUCCAAGACAGAGGUGAACUAUAUGGAGAAACUUUCAAAAGAGGAGGGGAUUCAGAAGAAACUCAGCAAGGAUAUUUUGCAAUAUAAAGCUCAUAUAAUCAAGAUAUUUGCGGAACAUAGGUACAAUUGGAUCUCUGCAGAUUUAGAGUUUUAGAAAUUUGCCUAGGGCUUAGGAUGCAAGUCACUGGUGAAUUGUAAACUCCAGUUUAUUAAAUAAAUUAGCUUUUUGUAUAUUUUUAUGA